CCCUUAGAUGUCCUGGGCUGCACGCGCGCUACACUGAUGUGUCCAGUAAGCACCUAACCUCUUCCGAAAGGAACGGGUAACCUUUGCAAAGCACAUCGUGAUGGGGAUAGAUUAUUGCAAUUAUUAGUCUUGAACGAGGAAUUCCUAGUAAGCACAAGUCAUCAGCUCGCGUUGAUUACGUCCCUGCCCUUUGUACACACCGCCCGUCGCUACUACCGAUUGAAUGGCUUAGUGAGGUCUCCGGAUUGGCGUCGGGGAUCCGGCAACGGAACCCCUUCGCUGAGAAGCUGAUCAAACUUGGUCAUUUAGAGGAAGUAAAAGUCGUAACA
rnacentral:rRNA from 1 species